rnacentral:rRNA from 1 species
UACGUAGGGGGGCAAGCGUUUGUCCGGAUUUAUUGGGCGUAAAGAGCGUGUAGGCGGCCAUACAGGUCCGUUGUGAAAACUGGAGGCUUAACCUCCAGACGUCGAUGGAAACCGUAUGGCUAGAGUCCGGAAGAGGAGAGUGGAAUUCCUGGUGUAGCGGUGAAAUGCGCAGAUAUCAGGAGGAACACCGGUGGCGAAGGCGGAUCUCUGGGCCUUGCCUGACGCUGAGGCGCGAAAGCUAGGGGAGCGAACAGG